CCCUUAGAUGUUCUGGGCCGCACGCGUGCUACACUGAGUGGAUCAGCGGGUCAGGUUGCGCGAAAGCGUUUCCUAAUCUUUAAAUCCGCUCGUGAUGGGGAUUGACGGUUGCAAUUUUCUGUCAUGAACGAGGAAUACCUUGUAAGCGCGGGUCAUCAUCCCGCGCUGAAUACGUCCCUGCCCUUUGUACACACCGCCCGUCGCUACUACCGAUUGGAUGGUUUAGUGAGAUCCUCGGAUUGGUCCCGGCGCGGCCUCUGGUCGUGCCGGAGUGCCGAAAAGAAUGUCGAACUUGAUCAUCUAGAGGAAGUAAAAGUCGUAACA
rnacentral:rRNA from 1 species